rnacentral:pre_miRNA from 1 species
UAACAUCUAGCGAUAACAUCUAGCUAUAACAUCUAGAGAUAAUAUCUAGCGCUAGAUGUUAUCGCUAGAUGUUAUCGCUAGAUGUUAUCGCUAGAUGUUAU